GUUAGGGAGCACUUAAGCCAAUUGUUUAUGGGAAUAGUUGGUACGGCUGUGACGGUGCCAAGGGAACCAUCAGUGUCACUGUGAGACAUUGUCUUAUCAUCUUCAACAGCUCAUGGCAACCAGGAGAAGUUACUUUUGACUGAAAAGGGGUCAAUGUGACACACAUUUCUGCUUGUCAAGAGAGGGGGAGAAGCAGAACUGCUACUUGGGCUUUCUUAUAUCUCCUUGUGCAGAAAGCACCUUGCUUUCACGAAAUGCAGACUCCUGACGUCGGGAAGGGCGUGUUUGAGGCCUCUUACAGAAGUCCUCAGAGUUAAUUGUCUGAAGUAGUUUGGAAACCUGAGAAGCUGAAGUCCUGAACACCUUUCUCCUUCUUCUUGGUAGAAAGAUGGCACUUGUGUGACUCGUUGGCUACAAGUGGAACUGCACACAAAACUGCCAUGAGAGCUAGAAAAUCAUCUGGCAGGUGGAUGGGCCUCAUGCACAAGAGAAUUGAUAGUGUGGAUGCAAAGUUGAUGUUCUUGACAGCCAAGGUCAUUCCCGAAGCUGAUCCACCAAAACACAACGAGGAAAUCAAUUUUCUAUGAGAGAUACGAGUGUCCAGUUGCACAACACUGAUGAGAUGGCUGUGCUAACUCUUCAAACCUAAUACCCAGUGUCAUGGGCAUGGAAACAAAAGCCAGUUACAGCACAAGUUUCUUUGGCUGGUGUUAAAAGCAACCAGCAUAAAACUGCAACUUGAAAAGCUUUUAAGCCUUUCUCAAAUAAAGUGGAUAUAAACUGA